GGAACCCUCUGGAACGAGCUCGGAUUCCCGGGAUCCCCCGGCCCAGCAGGAAUUGGGCUCUCCGUGCCCGGCCGGGCUCUUCCCGAUUUUCCUGCCCAGCAGGAGGAGGCCCCUGGAGGAGCUGCCGGCUCCCUUCGGUCCCUCUGGAAAAGCUCCCAGGAAAUCCCGGGAAUCCUCGUGGGAUCAGC